UGAUUCUAUGCCUUGCUCACU
rnacentral:piRNA from 1 species